rnacentral:piRNA from 1 species
GGGCUGGAGAGAUGGCUCAUCGGUUAAGA